rnacentral:snRNA from 1 species
GGUUUGUGAGGGAGAUCUGGCUGUGGACCCUGUCACACCCGGACUGAUUCAUCUGAUCUGGAAGACGAGGUGGGUGUCGCCUUCCUCCCUCACCACUCCAUGUGUGAGCCCUGGUUGAAGAGGACAGCUGUCCCGGCUCGGAGGACCGUCCUCCAGUCAAAGGUAUAUGAGUAUCUGUGGUCCCCCUACUAGAACCUCCAAACAGGCUCUCAAAGAUGUUGGCUGAGUAAUUGCUAUCAAGUAGUAUAUAAAUGUUUGUGAGAAACAAGAAAUUU